rnacentral:rRNA from 1 species
CAGGCUUAACACAUGCAAGUCGAGGGGCAGCAUGGUCUUAGCUUGCUAAGGCCGAUGGCGACCGGCGCACGGGUGAGUAACACGUAUCCAACCUGCCGUCUACUCUUGGACAGCCUUCUGAAAGGAAGAUUAAUACAAGAUGGCAUCAUGAGUCCACAUGUUCACAUGAUUAAAGGUAUUCCGGUAGACGAUGGGGAUGCGUUCCAUUAGAUAGUAGGCGGGGUAACGGCCCACCUAGUCUUCGAUGGAUAGGGGUUCUGAGAGGAAGGUCCCCCACAUUGGAACUGAGACACGGUCCAAACUCCUACGGGAGGCAGCAGUGAGGAAUAUUGGUCAAUGGGCGAGAGCCUGAACCAGCCAAGUAGCGUGAAGGAUGACUGCCCUAUGGGUUGUAAACUUCUUUUAUAAAGGAAUAAAGUCGGGUAUGCAUACCCGUUUGCAUGUACUUUAUGAAUAAGGAUCGGCUAACUCCGUGCCAGCAGCCGCGGUAAUACGGAGGAUCCGAGCGUUAUCCGGAUUUAUUGGGUUUAAAGGGAGCGUAGAUGGAUGUUUAAGUCAGUUGUGAAAGUUUGCGGCUCAACCGUAAAAUUGCAGUUGAUACUGGAUAUCUUGAGUGCAGUUGAGGCAGGCGGAAUUCGUGGUGUAGCGGUGAAAUGCUUAGAUAUCACGAAGAACUCCGAUUGCGAAGGCAGCCUGCUAAGCUGCAACUGACAUUGAGGCUCGAAAGUGUGGGUAUCAAACAGGAUUAGAUACCCUGGUAGUCCACACGGUAAACGAUGAAUACUCGCUGUUUGCGAUAUACUGCAAGCGGCCAAGCGAAAGCGUUAAGUAUUCCACCUGGGGAGUACGCCGGCAACGGUGAAACUCAAAGGAAUUGACGGGGGCCCGCACAAGCGGAGGAACAUGUGGUUUAAUUCGAUGAUACGCGAGGAACCUUACCCGGGCUUAAAUUGCAGAUGAAUUACGGUGAAAGCCGUAAGCCGCAAGGCAUCUGUGAAGGUGCUGCAUGGUUGUCGUCAGCUCGUGCCGUGAGGUGUCGGCUUAAGUGCCAUAACGAGCGCAACCCUUGUUGUCAGUUACUAACAGGUUCUGCUGAGGACUCUGACAAGACUGCCAUCGUAAGAUGUGAGGAAGGUGGGGAUGACGUCAAAUCAGCACGGCCCUUACGUCCGGGGCUACACACGUGUUACAAUGGGGGGUACAGAGGGCCGCUACCACGCGAGUGGAUGCCAAUCCCAAAAACCUCUCUCAGUUCGGACUGGAGUCUGCAACCCGACUCCACGAAGCUGGAUUCGCUAGUAAUCGCGCAUCAGCCACGGCGCGGUGAAUACGUUCCCGGGCCUUGUACACACCGCCCGUCAAGCCAUGGGAGCCGGGGGUACCUGAAGUGCGUAACCGAGAGGAGCGCCCUAGGGUAAAACUGGUGACUGG